rnacentral:rRNA from 1 species
UACGUAGGUGGCAAGCGUUGUCCGGAUUUACUGGGCGUAAAGAGCGCGCAGGCGGUCGUUCAAGUCGCGUGUGAAAGCCCCCGGCUCAACUGGGGAGGGUCACGCGAUACUGAUCGACUGGAAGGCAGGAGAGGGUAGUGGAAUUCCUGGUGUAGCGGUGAAAUGCGCAGAUAUCAGGAGGAACACCGGUGGUGUAGACGGCUUUCUGGACCGUAACUGACGCUGAGACACGAAAGCGUGGGUAGCAAACAGG